GACUGUAGCUCAGUUGGUUAGAGCAUCUGAUUGUGGUCCAGAGGGUCGUGGGUUCGAAUCCCAUCAGU
rnacentral:tRNA from 1 species